rnacentral:rRNA from 1 species
GACGAACGCUGGCGGCGCGCCUAACACAUGCAAGUCGAACGAGCGAGCGAGAGCUUGCUUUCUCGAGCGAGUGGCGAACGGGUGAGUAACGCGUGAGGAACCUGCCUCAAAGAGGGGGACAACAGUUGGAAACGACUGCUAAUACCGCAUAAGCCCACGACCCGGCGUCGGGUAGAGGGAAAAGGAGCAAUCCGCUUUGAGAUGGCCUCGCGUCCGAUUAGCUAGUUGGUGAGGUAACGGCCCACCAAGGCGACGAUCGGUAGCCGGACUGAGAGGUUGAACGGCCACAUUGGGACUGAGACACGGCCCAGACUCCUACGGGAGGCAGCAGUGGGGAAUAUUGCACAAUGGGGGAAACCCUGAUGCAGCGACGCCGCGUGGAGGAAGAAGGUCUUCGGAUUGUAAACUCCUGUUGUUGAGGAAGAUAAUGACGGUACUCAACAAGGAAGUGACGGCUAACUACGUG